rnacentral:lncRNA from 1 species
CUACCUUGAUACUGAGGCUCUUGGAGUUUGCGUUUGGGGAGUAUGUAUGCUCUUUGCUCAAAUAGGUGGCAUACAUAAGUUCGUGGAGGGUGCCCCUACGUAGAAGAAACUUGCUCCGUUUGCACAAGUUCAUGGCUGGUGUGGAGGGAUGGAUGCUUGCAUAGAGCUUAGGUUGCAGGGGGGGUACCCAAACUCGCAGCUUGCCCAUGAGUUAAGGCUUGUGCAGGGAGCAUUGCCUACUAGUUUACACAGGUACGUUGUCACUUUGCAUAACCAAAGUCGAACUUGUGCAGGCUUGCCCAAGCCCUUCUUUAUGCAAAUGCAACUUACUCAGGGGUAUCCUUGUGUAGGCAUGGGCAAGGUGGUUCUGCGAGUUUUUCUCCUUCAAACUUGCAUCCCUUUUCUAGCUGGAUAUAUAUAUCUUCCCUAUUCUCCUCGAUACCCUUAGAGAUUCCCUUCUAUUUAGGUUUUAAGCUUAGACUGCCUUUGAGAACCUAUAAAAUAACAAUAAAAACAAUCAAAUACAAAUGAAUAAGGCGGCAUUAGUGACAAGAACCGGUAAUAGAUAAGCUUUAAGCCACUCAAACACACUACAACGGGUUAUUUAGAGUCUAUUCGAGUACUAGUUUGGGUCCUUAUCAAGAGGUAGAAACAUAAAUUGAUUUUAAUUUACUUGAGAGAUCAAACAUGUUGGGUUUUUCCUCAUGUGAAAGGCCCAAAUUAAGAGCCCAAAAUUUAAGGUCUCUUAUUAGGCCUUUAUAUAAAAGGGUUAGAAGAAGAAUCCCUCUUCUUCUUCUUCUUCUUCUUCCAACUUUUUUUUUUGCAGCCACCAGAGAUAGAAGAAAAAGAGAGUAGAAGGAGAAAAGAGAGAGAAGGGGAGAACCACCAUUUUUUGAAGUUAAAGAGAAAAACUUAGUUUUUUUUUUCACUGUCCAGACUUCAUCAAAGGUUCAAUCCUGCUUCUUCUAUGGGCCGAUCGACCUGAAAUUUGGAGGAGAGGUUUGUGACUCAUUGAUCUUCAAUCUGAACGGUGAAGAUCGGAUUUGGAGUUCCGGACGGUCGUCUUUCAGUCCGAGAAUAGAGUCUCUGUUUUGGUGAGUUUUUUAUCCGGAUAGUUUUGAUCAUGAGCUUCGAUCAAGGUUAAUCUGUGGUUAGAUUGAGCUGAUUUUUUUUUGUGAGCAUGUUCAGAACUCAUUGAUCUUCAUUCUGGUCGGUGGAGAUUGGAUUUGGAGUUUGAAACAGUUAUAUUUCAGUCCGAAAAUAGUGACUAUGUUUGGUGAUAUUUCUCUAUUGUCUUUAUACAAAGUUGUUGAAAUUGUCAAGAUUAAUUUGUCUUGAGAUAUGGUUGAUGUAUGCCUUUUGUUUUAUCUAGAGAGGAUUGUGUAACCCAUUUAUUGUAUUAGUGGAGGUUUUAAGUGGCCUAAGGGUCCCGUGGUUUUUACUUCUCACAUUGUAGAAGGUUUUCCACACUAAAAUUGUUGGUGUUCAUAUACUUGUUGAUUUGGUGAAUUCUUGUUACUCUAUUUGAUUGAUUCCUAUUAGGUUCUCACAAGAGGGGAUAAAAUCUAGUUGUGCAUUGUUUGUGUUUAUCCCAUCAAAGUGGUAUCAGAGCAUUGGUUCAAGAUAAUUUGUGCCUUGUGUAUAACUAUGGAAAGCAAUACAAGUAGAAUGGUUACUCUGAAUGGCUCCAAUUAUCAUGUUUGGAAAGGAAAGAUGGAAGACUUAUUGUAUGUGAAGGAUUAUUAUUUGCCUGUGUUUGCUUCUGAACAGCCAGAAAAUAAAACUGAUGCAAAAUGGAAUUUACUUCAUCAACAAGUUUGUGGUUAUAUCAGACAAUGGUAGAUGAUAAUGUUCUCAAUCAUGUUAGUGAAGAGAAACAUGCACGAAGUCUAUGGAACAAGCUCAAACAGUUAUAUGCUCGAAAGACUAGUAACAAUAAAUUGUUUCUGAUCAAGAAGAUGAUUAACUUGAAGUAUUAAGAUGGAACUCCUAUGAAAGAUCACUUUAAUACAUUCCAAGGUAUUAUUAAUCAGUUGGCUGGAAUGAAUAUCAAGUUUGAGGAAGAGGUGUAAGGGUUGUGGCUUCUUGGUACAUUGUUGGACUCGUGGGAGACGUUUAGAACUCCUUUGUCUAACCCAGCCCCAUAUGGUACUAUGAAUAUGGAUUUUGUUAAGAGUUUUGUUUUGAAUGAAGAGAUGAGAAGAAAGUCACAGGGUUUUUCACAAUCAGAUGUCUUCGUUAUUGAAAAGAGGGGGAGGAGUAAGAGUAGAGUUCCGAAGAAUAGAGAUAGAACCAAAAACAAGACUAACAAGUUUGCCAAUGUUGAGUGUCACUAUUGCCAUUUGAAAGGGCAUAUAAGGAAGUAUUGUCGCCAAUUGAAGAGAGGUAUGAAACAAGGGAAACUGAAGGACAAGAAGAAUGACAAUGGUGGUGAAGAUGAUCGAGUUGCCACUACCACUUCAAAUUUCCUUAUUGUUUAUGAUAGUGAUGUUGUUAAUUUUGCUUGCCAAGAGACUAGUUGGGUGAUUGAUAGCAGUGCCUUAAUCCAUGCUACACCUUGGAAAGAUUUCUUUACAUUCUACACAUUCGGUGAUUUUGGAAGUGUUAGGAUGGGUAAUGAUGGCUCAGUUAAAGCCAUUGAUAUGGGAGAUGUGCGUUUGGAGACUAGUAAUGGUACUGUGUUGAUUUUGACAAACACAUUCCGGAUAUCCGCAUGAAUUUAAUCUCCACAGGUAAGCUUGAUGAUGAAGGGUUCAACAACACCUUUUGUGAUAGUCAGUGAAAGCUCACUUGAGGUUCUAUGGUGGUAGCAAAAGGAAAAAAGUGUUCCUCAUUGUAUUUGAUGCAGGCAAGGGUAAUUGAUUCCAGUAUCAUUGCAAUGAAUGAUGAUAGCACAGUUGAGCUUUGGCAUAACAGACUCGGUCACAUGAGUGAGAAGGGCUUGAUGAUUUUGGCUAAGAAGAAUCUUCUUUCUGGUAUGAAGAAGGGAUCUUUGAAAAUGUGUGCUCAUUGCUUAGCAGGAAAGCAGACCAGAGUUGCAUUCAAAACACAUCGCCAUACAAGGAAGCCAGGUAUGCUUGAUUUAGUGUAUUAUGAUGUGUAUGGUCCUAUGAAAACAAAAACACUUGGUGGAUUUCUAUAUUUUGUGACUUUUAUAGAUGAUCAUUCAAGAAAGAUUUGGGUGUAUACCUUGAAAACAAAAGACCAAGUGUUAGAGGUGUUUAAGCAGUUUCAUGCUCUUGCUGAGAGACAAUUUGGUGAAAAAUUGAAAUGCAUCCGGACUGAUAAUGGGGGAGAGUAUUCUGGUCCUUUUGAUGAGUAUUGUAGACAACAUGGUAUUCGACAUCAAAAGACACCUCCUAAGACUCCUCAAUUGAAUGGGUUGGCUGAGAGAAUGAAUAGGACACUGGUUGAAAGGGUGAGAUGUUUACUUUCGCAGUCACAGUUGCCAAGAACCUUUUGGGGUGAGGUAUUGAAUACUGUUGUACAUGUUCUCAAUCUUGCACCAUGUGUUUUUUUAGAAUUUGAUGUUCUGGAUAGAAUUUGGUUAGAUAAUGAAAUCUUUUAUGAACACUUGCGUGUCUUUGGAUGCAAGGAUUUUGUGCACAUUCCAAAAGAUGAGAGGUCUAAGCUUGAUGCUAAGACAAGACCUUGUGUAUUCAUUAGCUAUGGUUAGGAUGAGUUUGGUUACAGGUUUUAUGAUCCGGUGCAGAAAAAACUUGUAAGAAUCCGAGAUGCUAUGUUUAUGGAAGAUCAUAGCAUAUGGGACAUUGAGAAGACUGAUGCAACAGAGUUUCAGUAUAGUGAUAAUCUGAUUGACUUAAAUCCAGUUCCUUUGACACAUCUUCCUACACAGGUUGAAGAUGAAGCACAUGAUGACCAACAUGACAUUGGUGAUGUUGAAACUCCCACAUAGGUUGAGAUGGAUGAUGAUGUUCAUGAGCAGUCACUAGUAGCAGAGGCUUCACUAGAUAUUCCACUCAGGAGGUCUACUAGAGACCGACAUCCUUCCACAUGGUAUUCUGUUGAUGAUUAUGUAUUACUAUCUGACUGGGGAGAACCUAAAAGUUAUUAGGAAGCCAUGAGAGAUGAAAAUAAGAUGAAGUGGGUUGAUGCUAUGCAAGAUGAGAUGAAGUCAUUACAUGAGAAUCGUUCUUUUGAGCUUGUCAAGUUGCCAAAGGGAAAAAGAGCUUUGAAGAACAGGUGGGUUUAUAGAGUGAAGCAAGAAGAACACACUUCAUAGCCAUGUUACAAAGCUAGAUUGGUUGUCAAAGGGUUCAGUCAAAAGAAAUGUAUUGAUUUCGAUGAGAUUUUUUCUCCUGUUGUUAAGAUAUCGUUUAUUCGUGUAGUUUUGGGCUUUGCAGCUAGUCUUGAUUUGGAGAUUGAGCAGAUGGAUGUUAAGACUGCAUUUCUCCAUGGUGAUUUAGACAAAGAAAAUUAUAUGGAACAACUAGAGGGUUUCACAAUAAAAGAAAAAAAUGAUUACGUGUGUAAGUUGAAGAAAAGUCUUUAUGGCUUGAAGUAGGCACCGAAACAAUAGUAUAAGAAGUUUGAAUCAGUUAUGGGGGAGUAAGGCUACCGAAAAACUAUUUAUGACCAUUAUGUAUUUGUGCAAAAAUUCUCUAAUGAUGAUUUUAUUAUAUUGUUGCUCUAUGUUGAUGAUAUAUUGAUUGUUGGUAGAAAUGUUUCAAGAAUUGAUAAGUUGAAGAAGCAGUUAAGCAAAUCCCUUUCCAUGAAGGAUUUGAGAUCAGCAAAGAAAAUUCUUGGUAUUAGAAUUGAGCGAGAUAGAACAUCCAAGAAGCUGCAUAUGUCAUAGGAGCAAUAUAUUGAAAAGGUGCUUAAAAGAUUUAACAUGAGCAAAGCUAAAGUGGUUAGUUCUCCUCUAGCUAGUCACUUUAAGCUAAGCAACAGACAUAGCCCUUCUAUAGAUAAGGAGAAGGAAGACAUAAGAAGAGUUUCGUAUGCCUCAGUAGUAGGAAGUUUGAUAUAUGUCAUGGUAUGUACUAGACUGGACAUAGCUUAUGCAGUUGGUGUUGUUAGCCGCUUUUUAUCUAAUCCAGGAAUACUACAUUGGGAGACGGUCAAGUGGAUUAUGAGAUAUUUGCGAGACACUUCCAAGUUGAAACUCACUUUUGGAAGUGGGAAACUAGUACUUGUUGGCUACACUAAGUCAAACAUGGCAGGGGAUGUAGAUAAUAUAAGGUUUACUUUAUGUUAUUUGAUGACAUUCUCAGGAGGUGUUGUGUCUUGGCAAUCAAGACUACAAAAAUGUGUUGCACUUUCUACAACAGAGACAGAGUACAUUGCACCAAUAAAAGCAUGUAAAGAGUUGUUGUGGAUGAAGCGUUUCAUACAUGAGCUUGGGUUUAAGAAGCAGCGUUAUGUGGUAUACUGUGAUAACCAGAGCGUCAUUCACCUUAAUAAGAAUUCUAUCUUUCAUGCAAGAUCGAAGCACAUUGAAGUGAGGUAUCAUUGGAUGAGAGAUGCUCUCAAUGACAACUUGUUUGAACUUGAGAAGAUACAUACCGAUCACAAUGGCUCAGAUAUGUUAACGAAGUCCUUACCAAGGGAAAAACUUGAAGUUUGUUGUUCAAUCGUUGGGAUGGCGAGUCCCUCCACAUAAUCGGAAAGAUGGAGAUUUUUUGGGUUUUUCCUCAUGUGGAAGGCCCAAAUUAAGAGCCCAAAAUUUAAGGUCUCUUAGGCCUUUAUAUAAAAGGGUUAGAAGAAGAAUCCCUCUUCUUUUUUUUUCCUCCAAUUUUUUUUGCAGUCAUCGGAAGUAGAAAAAAAAGAUAGCAAAAGGAGAAAAUAGAGAGAAUGGGAGAACCACCAUUUUUUGAAGUUAGAGAGAAAAACUCGGUUUUUUUCUUCAUUGUCCAGACUUCAUCAAAGGUCCAAUCCCGCUUCGUCUGUGGGUUGAUCGACCUGAAAUUUGGUGGAGAGGUUCAUGACUUGUUGAUCUUCAAUUUGAACGGUAGAGAUCGGAUUUGGAGUUCCAAACGGUCAUAUUUCAAUUUGAGAAUAGAACCUCUAUUUUGGUGAGUUUUCUAUCCAGACAGUUUUGAUCAUGAGCUCCGAUCAAGGUUAAUCCGUGGUUUGAUUGAGCUGAUUUUUGGUGAGCACGUUCAAAACUCAUUGAUCUUCAUUCUAACGGUGGAGAUUGGAUUUGGAGUUCGGAAUAGUUAUAUUUCAGUCCGAGAAUAAUGGCUGUGUUUGGUGAGAUUUCUCCAUUGUCUUUAUGCAAAGUUGUUGAAAUUGCCAAGAUUAAUUUUUCUUGAGAUAUGGUUGAUGUAUGCCUCUAGUUUUAUCUAGAGAGAAUUGUGUAACCCAUUGAUUAUAUUAGUGGAGUUUUUAAGUGGCCUAAGGGUCCCAUGGUUUUUACUUCUCACAUUGGAGAAGGUUUUCCACACUAAAAUUGUUGGUGUUCAUAUACUUGUUGAUUGGGUGAAUUAUUGUUGCUCUAUUGGAUUGAUUCUUAUUAGGUUCUCACAAGAGGGGAUAAAAUCUAGUUGUACAUUGUUUGUGUUUAUCCCAUCAAAACAAUGAAAUACACUUUGCAUGGUCAAUUCAUAUUCAAAAGACUUAUAUAAAUAACAUUUUACUUUGGUUCACUAAUAUUAACAUUAUACUCAAAUGGUGAGACUUCCACUAAAUGACUAGCCUCAAAUGUUUUAGUGGAUAGAACGAUUUCCUAUCAACGAUAUAUUAAAGGUUAAUAACCCCCUUAUUAGUUAAGAUUGCAUCGUAUCACUCCUCUCACCAAGGAUUCCAACAAACAAAUGGUUAGUAAUAACUAGAGUUUGAAAAUAAUCCUAAUAAAUAAAAAGUCAAUUGAGGAAUAAAUCAAAUAAGUCAUGUGACACUCCCAAUUUAUUUUUAUGAAUUAAUGAAUAGAUAAGAGUAUAUUUCAUAAAUAUUGCUUAAUCUUCUUUAAUUUAAGGAAUUCAACCACUUUGAUACUUCAAAAAAAUGGAUGAAAAAUAUAUAAUAAAUUAUAAAAUAGUUGAUUGUACUAUUAAUCCUUACAUGGAAGGAGACACUUAAGUUCAGUUUGGUAACUAUUUUCAAAAAUAAUUUUUUGUUCUCCAAAACAAAAAAAGAAAAAAAAGAAAACACGUUUCACAACCAAAAAAUAGAAAAGAGUUUUAUGUUCUUAAAAACAAAAAACAAAAAAAAAACAAAAAAAAGGUUUAUAUUCUUAAAAAAUAAAAAUAGAGUGUUUUAAAUAACAUUUUUAGUUGUUUUCACUUAUUUUUUAAUGAUUAUUUUAAAAAAGAUUAUAUAAAAAAUGAUUAAAAAUAAAACACUACAAAUAUUGUUAUAUUUUUAAAUAUAUUUAAAAAUAUAACAAAUAUAUUAAAAAUAUUUCAAGUUCACAAAUAGAUAUUUGUUAAUGUUUUAAAAAUUGGACUGGUCCAACCGUCGACCGGUCGCAUUUCCAAUUCGGUUUGCUUUAUUAAACCGUUUAGGUAUUGGAUCGGUAUCGAACCCGCCUAAACCAACGGUCGGACUGGUCACCCGGUGAAACCAAACGAUUCUAAACGAAUCGAACAGUUCAAGUUAACCCCCUUAUUUGGCAAACAUGGAAGGGUUCCAUUGGGUUUAAACGGGCUAAAGCCCAUGCUGGGCCUUGUCUUAUUAUGACAACGCCCACACUCACCCCCACAAUUUUAUGGGCUGAGUCUUGAGCCCAGGUGAUGCCUUUGCCUUAAGUGAGGAUGGCUUUUAUAGACAUCCUUUGCAUUAUUUUUCUUCUCAGAAUUCGAUGUGGGAUUGCUAACUAAUUAUCAAUGAAAAAAAUAUAAUAUUUUUAAAAAUUAUAAAAUUAGUUUAAAUUUUCAUUUUUAAUAUAUUCAUAUUUAAAUAUUACACAUAUUUCAUUUGAUAAUAUCAAAGAUAUAAAUAAUAUUAUUGAUUUUUAAUUUAGUCAUAUAUAUUUUAGAUUUUUUAUAAUUAUUUUUAAUUUUAAUAAUAUAUAAAUUACAUAUUUAUGACGUUAUCGGUUCGACCGUGGUUCGACCACCGGUCUAACCAGUAAACCGUGAACCGAUAACUUUUCCGGUUCGAUGACCGGUCCGGUUCUGAAAACAUUGAUAUUUGUUUUAUAAAACAUCAUAAAAUAAUUUUCUCUAAAACUGUUUUUCAAAACUAUUUUUGAAAAAAGUUACCGUCUUAAAUUCUUGAAAAACUUAAUCUACACCUAACAUAACAUAGAUCAAAAUAAUUAAUUAUUAGUGUUGGAUAUUUAUCCAAAUUUAUAAUUAAGGAUUCCUUACAAUUUUUUUUUUUUUUUGUAGAUAUUAUUGUCACUAAUAUUCUUUCCAACUUUCCAACCACUAACAAUUUAAUUAGUAAGUUUCAAAAUUUUACAAAACUUGUGUUCCUUCCAAACUUUGUGUCCAAGAAUCCAUUUCUUUUAAUUAUGUAGACUAAAUUUAUUAUUAAUAGUAUUAUUAUCUUUAUUUACAUGCACUCUUUCGUGGGCAUUGUAUCCACACAAUUACGUUAAUUGUAUUUAUUAAAUUAUUAUUAUUGUUUUCUAAGUUCGCCUUUCUACUUCAAUUCUCAGUAGAUCAUGUCAGUCACAAACUCGCAUUUAUUAAAUUAUUAUUAUUUUCAUUUUUUUUUUCUCCACCACUUGUACUAGAGCAGCAGUCCAGCCAAGACAUAGGCUUAUGAUCAAUCUAAAAGCCAAGCCAAGCCAACCUCAUGGCUGGUUGUGUUUUUGAAUCAUCUUCUUUCUAAUCUAUGUAAUUAAUUCUUUUCACAUUUGAUACACGUGAUUUCAACUCCUUUAAAAUCCAUUAAAAUCAUCUACUCAAUUUGAUUUAAUAUUCAUAACCUCAUUCUUGUACUGUAUAUGAUUUCUAAAAGAAAUCUUAAGUUUUGCCUCAAACCUAGAUUAAAAUGUUUUUAAUACAACAUUUAGAUGAUUACAUAGCCACUAAAAAUGAAUUUGAAAUAAUAGAUUAAUAAAGAAGACACUAAAUUACGAAUUGACUUAAACUUUGGGGUUGGGGUGCUACAAUCUCCCCCUCUUUACAAAAUUUCAUUCUCAAAAUUUGCUUAGUUAUUAAGCUUUCAUUUCACCAUUCAAAUCCUUUCAUUAACAAAUCAUUAACUCACUAGAGAAGACAAUCCAUUCCCUUCUAAAUGGAUACUAACAUUAGUUACUUCAACUUUCUUUCUUAAACAACUUAGGGUUUGUUUGAUAAUUGUUUUCAAUAACAGCUUUCUGUUUUUCACAACAAAAAAACUGAAAAAAAAAAUGUUUAAUAAUUAGAAACUUUUUUUUGUUUUCUAUUCUCUAAGAACAAGAAACUAUUUUUUGUGUUAUGUUCUCAAAAACAGAAAACAUAGUGUUUCUAGAGAACAUCUUUUAGUUGUUUUCACUUAUUUUUUAAAAAUUGUUUAAAAAAUAAUUAUACAAAUAUUUAUAAUGAUUUAAAAUAAAACAAUAGGUAAUUAUUUUUAAAACAUAUUUAAAAAUAUUAAAAACAGGUUAAAAACAUUUCAGGUUCUAAAUAGACUUUUGUUCUACAAAUUUGUUCUACAAAACAUUAUAGAGAGAAGAGUUUUCAAAAAUUGUUGUGGUCCUUACACCUCUUAGUAGAAAUAAUAUAUGGAGCAAAAGGGAAAGCUUAGUAAACUUUACCUCAUACUCAAUCAUCAACUUAUUAUUCUAAAUCAAUGGUCAACUUAUUCUUUUUUCUGUGUUGGAUACUCUCAGGAAAGUAUUUCCUAUAAAAAGCUUUCCUAAAUUGAUCUCAAAUAAUUGGUUCUUAACUUCCCAAAAUUCUUUUUUCCAUUCUCUACCAUUAUUUUGCUUCCCUCACUAACAUAAAACUAGUGAAGGUUACUUUUUGAAUUUUGGAGCAUCCUAAAUCAUCAAAAUGCUUUUCACUAUCUAGAAUCCAUGACUUAGCCUCUAAUGGUCCUGGCCCCUCCUUGGAGGAAGGAAAGCCUAACUUCUUAAACUUCUUAAAAAACCACUAGUCAAACAAAUGACUAACCUUAUGUCUAAGUCUUUGUAGCUAAAUGUCACAAGAUGCUUCAAAUGACCCUCCCCAUGGGCUUAUAUAGGAGGUGGGAAGCUUAUAGAGACCCCCAGAGACAUCAACACUUAACCAUUAUUGGGAAGAGUGUGGAAGGUUCUAGAGAUGCCUAGAGAAGUCCACACAUUUCUACACUAUGGUGGAAGGCAUGAGAGGAGUCAAAGGCCUUCUAGAGAAUUCUAGAGAUCUCUUAUAUAUUCUUGUACAUAAGCUUGUACAUAGAAUUGUGUAGGGUGUUCUAAAAUAUUCUUGAUUUGUAAGGAACCCUCCAAGGUUCUAGAGUGUUCCAUUGGUGCCUAUGAAUAGGUGAGGGUCUCAUUUGGCCAAGGCACCAAACAAGUAAGUUCCCAAAAGUACUUGUAAAGCUUCCUUUGAACAAUAAAACUUCCAUUCUUUAAGAGUUGCCUACUACGCCUUCUAAAAUUUUCGAGUCAUGAGCAUCUAAGCCUAGCAAGCUAAACAUUGGGAGUAAGGCUAAUUUAGCAAGAUUAAGUGUCUUGACUUGUCUAAGUGUCGCACAAGCUUAGGAAAAGACUAAGUCCGUGACAUAGAGCCUAAGUCUUAGCAGCUAAAGCUUGAAUCUCAAUAGCAGCAUUCAAUUUUAUUACUUCUUUUCAAGGAAUGUAGAAUGAGUUAUACAAGGACAAUCCUAUAAUAAGAGAAUCAAAUAUAAAUAAUAUUUGAUUUUGCUUAAUUUGUGGAAUUAUUGACGGGAGUGAAUUUCUUUUGGGUAUCUUCUUAAUUAUUUCUUUUAAUAUGCACUUGGUUUUGUAUAUAUCCUUAAUGAUAUCCCUUAAUAAAUCCCCUCAAGUUAGAGUGAGAAUGAAUAUGGAGACUCAAAGCACGUUUGACUAUUUUUUUUUUAAACUUGUUUAAAAAAAAAACUGUUUUUAAAUUAAAGAAUAAAAAACAGAUUUUUUUAGAUUUUUAUAAAAAUAAGGGUGUUUGGCAAGUUGUUUUUAAAAACACAAAACAAAAAUAUUGUUUGAAUUUGUUUUAAAAUUUUAUUUUGCAAAAAUAUUGUAAAUUCAAUACUCAAUUAUGAACACAGUAUUUUAGAAUGCUUUGAUAUAAUAUGCAAUUAAUUAAAUCAGUAUUUUGAAUUCCAAAUUAUUCUUAAAAAUUAAAGGAUUCAUUAAAAAAUUUAAAUUAUUAAUUAUGUUUAACUUAAUUUAAAACUCAUUUACCUAGUAAGAAAAUUUAUAUAUAUAUAUAUAUAUAUAUAUAUAGGAGAAAUAGUAAAAUCAUUACUCAUAAUAUAUUAGUUUUGAUCUAUUAUUUUUUGCAGUGAUUAAAUCUAUUUUUUGAGUUUUAAAUUAUUUUAAAAAAUUGUUAACUCGUUAAUAAAUUUAAUACAAAGUGUUGCUUGAUUAGAAGUUCAUUUAUCUAGUGAGAAAAUUUAUAAAAAUAUAAUUACGUGAAAAAAAAAUCAUUGUAAACCAAUUUUUGUUAAUAAAUUUCUUGUAUUAAUGAGUUCACUAUUUAAGUUUCAAAUUAUUUUUAAAAAUUAUUGGACUCAUUAAUGACUCCAAUGUAAUUCUUGGUUAAUUUGGAGUUUAUUUAUUUACUUAGUAAAAUAACUAGAGACGCCACUUAUUUUUGUUUUUUUUUCAAGAGAAUAAAAUAAGAAACUAAAACACUAAGAAAAAUGACUCCUUAAACUUUUGGAAAAAUGUGUCUUUGAAAAAACCCGAAUCUAGGUGUGGAGAUCAAGUUACCUAUCAAAAAGGUACCUUAAAAAGAUAGCACCCCUCGAUGCCCUAAAAAAGUCUUCACUAGCUAGGUAGAGAGAAAUGUGACAAUUAAUUGAUUAAUCAAAGAUACCAGGAAAGGCCAAGGUGUUGACCUAAAUUUUAAUAAUAUAUUAAACAAACAUACAAGCAUUCUCAAUCACAAACAUAAAGUGGAGUUAGCAAGCAUACCUGAGCUGCUUCUUAAGCGCUAUCAACAGGCAUCAAAGUUAGUUCAGAAAACAUAUCACUUAGCAUGCAUUAUCAUUUAGAUCAGUGUAAUAAAAUACAAUCAAGGCGACAAAAUGACAACAUCAAGCAUAGGGACCUUCACACAUGAAUCAUACACAAUUGUUCAAUUAAGAGAUCAAUGGUGUGGAAGCGUACAAGGAUAGGAUAAGCAAUUUACAAAGUGCUUCCAUAAGAUAAAGAAGGUUAGAGUAAAUAGCAAUGACAAAUAGUGAGAUUCUAAAUCCUAGCAUGCAUGGUGUGUGUGUAUAUAACAUAAAGUAAAUGUCGAGUCUAAAGAAAAUAUCAUCUAUUCAAAAGAGAUUUGCAUACAAUUCAUUGUUAAGAUUAAUCUAAUGCAUAAAAUAGCAAGGAAUACUAAGAUUAAACACUAAAGCAAAACAAACAACAAAGGAGCAUAAUGGUAACAUUUACAAUAAAAAUCCUAAAUAUUAACUAGAAGCAUUAUUUUAUCGCAAGAAAAAUUGCUCAAUAUCCUUAAUAUGUCUACAUUACAGAAAACAAGUCAAAUUCAAAUCAUUACCAUGUCUAAAAACUCUAGAUUAAAUAGCAGAGUAAGUGUUAUACAGAAGUUUCAACAUUUAGCCAAAACAGUAGGGUUCUUAGAAUAAAUCUUUUAAAAAAAAAUCUAAUUGGUGAAUUUAGUUACAAGAAUUUUUAUCCUCUAUGUAUCUAGUUCAUCAUUCAAGUGACCAAAAAAUCAUUCAAAUAUCAUAUUUAAACCAAAACACCCAAAAGUUCCAUAAGGUUCAGAACCAUGUAGAAAACAAUAACCAAUGUAAACUAAAUUAAAAAAAAAAACCAAAAAACAAAAAAUCUAGAGGCCUUCUAAAUUCAUAUAAAAAUUUACACAAUUCAUUUAAGAUGUCUAGAUUGUAUAAAAAAUAAAUCUAAAGUCAUAAAUCAUUCAAAUGAAUUUUUAAAACACUAUACUUGAUCAAUUGUCCAAAUUCGGUCAUGUGCAGUAGAUGAAAAUUUGAAAAAUCAUAUCUCCCUCAAGAAAGCGUAUUUUUUUAAUAUGUUAUGAAUCAAAUUUCAAUUUUAAGAAGUCUAAAAUCUUGAAAAAAUAUUAAUUUAAAUUAAAAAAAUAAAAAAAGUAAUUUAAUUUUGCAAAGUACUCUCAAGUAUACAUAAGAAGGCCUAAACAUAACAUGCUGAAAUAGGUGAUCAUAAAUCAACUUUAAGGAAAACUUUUUUACUCAAGUAACAUUCCACAAUUAAGUUCAAAGAGUGAAGAACAUCAUAAAAUUUUUGAAAAAAAAUUUAAAAUAUUCCAAAAUAAUCAAAACAAAUUUUUUUCUAAAGGGUCAAUAAAUAAGUGAAAACUAGUAGUGAAUACGAGUGUUUAAAAAUAUUUUGUAUAAGGGUUCCAUCAAGUCCCAAUUCAAUACUUAUAAGUUUAACCUUUGUAUUCCCAUUAGCUUAGGGGUACAAAUUCAAACCUAUGGUAAAAAAAUAAAGUUUUGGAAAACCAAGAAAAAGAAAUGCAACUUAUAUAAAAUUGAGUUGCAUAUUUUAAAAAGAGAGAUCUUUGCCCAAAAAACCUAGAAUGAUUUUUUUUAAAAAAAAGUUUUUAAAGGUUUUAAAUUCCUUUGAAAAAUGAUUUUAGGAAAGUAAAAGGAACCAUGUGAUUUGAUAAAUCCAAAACACUAGACACAAAAUGAGGAUUUUUUAUUUCUAACUUAAAAGGGUUUUGAAAACAAGAGAAAUAUCGACUUGGCCACCUUUCAUUGACGAUCUACGAGCCUCAUUCAUGAGGGAGAAAAUUCAUUUUGACAAAGAAAAAAAAAUAUUAGCCCAAGGAUCACAACUCAAACAAUUAUUCUAUUCAAAUUAUUUAAUUUUUAAAACAAAUAAAUAAGAUUCAAUAAAAAAACAAUUAUUUUAUUCGAACUAUUUUGAUUUCUAAAACAGAUAAAUGGGAUUCAAUCAAGACAAUUACUUUAUUCAAACUAACUUAUUUUCUAAAUCAAAUAAAUAGGAUUCAAUUGAAAUAAAUAUCAAUGAAUUUAAGAUAUAAACUAACCAAACAAAUUUGAAAUAAGGUCUUUUACCCGUAGUAUCAAUUAUAUUAAUAAACUAAAAAUUUAUAAAAACUCUUAAAACUAAAUAUGAAUUAAAAAUUAACCAAACAAAUAUUUAUAAAUGCUCAAACCUAAACAUGAAUGAUAAACUAAUCAAACAAAAUUAAAACAAAGCUGUUUAACACAUGGGAUCACUUAUGUCAACAAGAUAAAAUAUUAAAACCCAAAGAUGAAUUAAAAACUAACCAAAUAAAUAUUUAUAAACACUCAAACCUAAAGAUGAAAGAAAAAUUAAUCAAACAAAAAUUUAUAAACAAAAUUUUUUAACACAUCAGAUCAUUUAUAUCAACAAGCUGAAAUAUUAAAACCUAAAUAUGGAUUAAAAACUAACCAAAUAAUUUUUUAUAAACACUCAAACCUAAAGAUGAAAGAAAAAUUAACCAAACAAAAAUUUAUAAGCACUCAAACGUAAAGAUGAAUGAAAAACUAACCAAACAAAAUUAAAACAAAGAUAUUUAACACAUGGGAUCACUUAUGUCUGCAAACUAAAAUAUUAAAAACUAAAGAUGAAUAAAAAACAAACCAAAUAAAUAUUUAUAAACACUCAAAGAUGAAUGAUAAACUAAUCAAAUAAAAUUAAAACAAAGAUCUUUGAUGCAUAGGAUCAUUUAUAUCAACAAACUAAAAUAUUAAAACCUAAAGACGAGUUAAAAACUAACUAAACAAAUAUUUAUAAACGCUCAAACUUAUUGAUGAAAGAAAAACUAACCAAACAAAAAUUUAUAAACACUCAAACCUAAAGUGAAUGAUCAACUAACCAAACAAAAUUAAAACAAAGAUUUUUAACAGACGGAUCAUUAAAAUCAACAACUAAAAGUUUAGAUACAUAUAUAUAUAUAUAUAUAUAUAUAUAUAUAUAUAUAUAUAUAUAUAUAUAAAUUAACAAGGACCAUCAAACUAAGAAUUAAUAAUUCAAAGGACCAUAAAAAAUUAGCAUAGAUCAACCAAAAUAACAAUUAAUAAUUGUAAGGACAACAUAAAUUAAUAUGGAUCAACCAAAACCAAAAUCUAAUAAUUUAGGGAUUAAUAUAAAUUAAUAUGGAUAUUCAAAAUUAACAAAAAAAAAAUUGAUUUUAUGAAAUAAUGGAUAUUCAAAAUUGACAACAAAUGAUUUUAUGAAAAAUAUAAACUACCAUAGAUAUUCAAAAUUAACAACAAAAAUUUUUAUGAAAAUAAAUAAAUAAACAAACUUACAUGAAUAUUAUAAAGCUACAUUACUAUUAGUUUUUAUUUGUUUCAUUUUAAAUUUAGAACAAUGCAAACCAAAAACACCAUAACCGACCAUAUUCACUUUGAUUUUUAAGUCAACGAAACCAACCACUAAUAUACUUACUUGAAACAUCUCAUGGCCAGCCAUAUGGAUAUACAUCAAUCUCACUUUGAAUUUUUUUUUUAUUAUUAUUUAAAAAAACACCAAGCCACAUACAUCCUAUCAAUCUUUGAUUUUUAUUUUUUAUUUUUAAAGCCAAGCCACUAGCAUCCAAACGUUCAUGACUCCAUAUCACAUAAAAAAAUAUAAAAUAAUAAAAUAAUAAAAUAAUAAAAUAAAAUAAAAUAAAAAUCCUCAACCUUCUACAAAUACGACACUCAAGGAUUCAAAAUACCAAAGUUUCCAAAAAAAAAACUCACUUGUGUGUGUUCCCGUCAAGUGGUGCGUACCGAAGCUCCUUUGUGAUGGAGAGAUGCCGACAAUGGUUUCAAAGUGGCAGCUCCUCAACGUGGCAGCCUUCUUUUAUGCUUGAGUCCCCAAAAAAUUCAAGAUGCAGCCAUCCACUCCUUCCAUCUGGUGUCUCUUGUUGAGUGUCUCUCCUCCACUCAAUGGCAAUCCGCUCAUGCAAUGGCGCGCGGUGGACCUUGUGUAUGGCAGCGUGUGGAGAAGAAAAAUCCCAAGAGAAUGUGUGGCCCCCUUCCUGGCGUGGCUGCCUCUCAAAAAAUUCCUUUUUUCUUUUUUCCAAAUGAUGGUGCGUGAUUCUUCCUUUAGGCCAAUCUGCAGCCGUGUGGGAAAACCCCACAAUUACAGGCUGUCUUUUCUUUUAAAAUUGAUGCGUAAUGGAUUUUUAUAUAUGGGAAGUAGUGCAGCUGAGUUCAUGCCACUCUUAUGGCAGUCUGUGUGUGUCCUUCACUUAUGGUAACAUGUCCUCCCCUUAUAUGUGCGUUUAGGCGUGGUCCUUCAAUGGAGCAGGUUGUGUGUAUCUGGAAUGCCCCCGGUGCAGCUACACCUUUUCGGAAUCAAAUUUGC